AAAAAAAAAAGGACUUCCGUCCGCUCCUCCUCAUCCAUGCCCGCACACCAGUCGUUCCCCACAGCACGGGCGGGCCGCCCAUCCUCCCGCCGCCUCCCGCCGUUCGCCGCUCGCAUCCUCCUCCUCUCGGCUUGGUCUCCCCCAUCCUCCCGUCGUUCGCUAGCCGCCCUCCCGCCAUAUGCCGUUCGCUAGAGAUGCGGGCGGACGGUUGGGCUGGCGAGCGGUGGCAGGUUCGUCGCGCGACAGGUCGCCUGGGAUGCUAGCCGUGGAUGCGGGUCAAGCCGACUCGGGCGGCGGCGCAUCUUCGGGAGAGGAGAGGGGAAAAGAAGGAGAGUCCUGGGGGCGGCUGAGGAGGUGCUCGCCGGCGAGCGGGCUCCGACGGCCGCCUGGCGCGCGGGGUUGGAUGGGGGCGUUUCCCGGCAGUCGCGGCCGUCCUCGCGACACCAACUAGCCGAAAGCAUCGCCGCUCCCCGCCGCCCGCCGACGCGAAUUCGCCUGCCCCUCCUACCCACGCGACAAUGUCGCUCCUCGGCUCCUCCCCGCGCGACACCGCCUUCCCCAAGAGCGCCCACCCCGUCGUCCUCCUACUCCUCAGUGCCUCCUUCUCGCCCGCCCGCAACGCCUUGCCUUGCAGCGUGGCCUGACACACGCACGGCCCACACUGGAGCACGCCGCCCCUCGCUGCCCGGUUUUUCUUCUUUUCCGUCGCACUGUGCGAAAUCUGCCCCAUGCUCGGUCUGGAUCUAAAUAAGCGGUUGAGAGAGAGAGAGAGAGAGAGAGCACAGCGAAGACGCACACACUGUGGAUUGUGGAAGAGGAAGAGGACAUGCUGUUGGAUCCGAGCACCUGUCGGAGGAGCAUAGGCAUAAGGAGGCAUCCAUGAGACAAGUUUUUUUUAAUUCGUAUUUCUAUGUCUGCAUGAUGACAUUAGUUAACUGGUAAUAGUAAGUCACUGCCAUACAUCACUGAUGAAACAGUUGUUUUUUCCCAUUUAGCAAAGAAAUUAUGAUCUGUUCCUCUACCAAUAAUUGUAAAUUAGUCAUGACACCCAAUCUAGCACCUGUCAUGUUGUUUGAUUUGUCUCUCUAUAUAUAUGUUCUCAUGAGUGGUCAUAGUUUUACAUGACGAUUUCCAGAAUAUGAAUACAUUGAAAGUUAAUUUGAUUUUCAUAAAUGUGUCCAAUUUUGGUUGUAUAAAUCAAUUUUUAAUUUGGCAUCCCAUUCCAUGCCAAGAAUCAAAUGACAAGCUGAAUUUGUUCCUAUGUAACGGGGUUCAGUAGCUUCCCUCUCCUGAAUUAUUCUUGUUGUAAUUUCAUGGUUAUGCAAUUAUCAAUCUUCUCUUACUCAUUUCACGUGUCCAUAGUUAGCCAGGCAACUGAAGGUGGGUCAUGUAUUUUAGCACAGGUUCGAUGUGGCGGUUGUUAACUUAUUCCAACUGUGAAAAAUGGUAGUUGUUGCCGGAUGAAUUUCUGGUCUCGCACCUCCUUAUUUCUGGUCUUGCACCAUGGACGGCCUGAACGGCGCUGACGCGUGCUUCUCCGGAGGAGGGCCAUGUGACGGCCAGACCGGCAGACAUAGCCAGGAUAUGUGGUACAAGGGAUUCGAGGCAAAUUGAGGAAGGAGCUGGAGCAGGUGGUGGAUUAAGGAAAGAGCUGGAGCAGAGACGGAUUAGAGCUGCUUAAGAUGGAAGGGAACUUAAGUGCAUGUUUUCGGAUUGUACAUGAACUAAGUUCCUGCUGAAAAAUGGUGACUGCAUUUAGAGCUGGCAUUGGUGCUUGGUCAGACAUGGUGUCUUUGUAACUACACUAAGUUCCCUGGUUCUUGCUUAAAAAUGUUUACAAGAUAACAUUUCUAAACAUGAUCUAGAAGCCCUCAAACCAGAUCAAGCUCGGUACAUUGGAAUAAAAAGAAUGACAAGGCAGUUAGAAGUUCAGAAUUCUAUAUAGGAUAUAUAUACUUGGUUGUACCAUAUUUAGCUGAACUAAAGUAGAUGCUCUAACUGUGUUCACAUGAUUUUGAACAGGCCCAUGGAGAGAAGCCCUAAUGUACACCCAAGGUUCAGGGAGGUGAUCCAGGUUUUCAAGAAGGUUAGAAGGAGGGUGAGUGGAUUAGUCGCCGAUUAGUGCCUUCAUUGUUGUUGAAUAAACUGGCUUCAGCUCUGAUGCAUGUGAACUGUGAGGUGUUUUUGGUAUGGGAAUGAUGAGGUUCUGAUGGUCUAUACCUGAUUGCAAGGUUUGGGUAUGAAUUAAAUUUGCGUCCAAACUUGGCAAUUAUCUUCUAUGAAUUUAGGCAUUGUUCACAUGUCAUUUGAGUCAAACAGAAAUAUGCUUCUGAAAUGCUCCAAUUUGCUGCUUUUCACAUUUAGAGAAGGUUGUUUUAUUUCGUAUUCAUCAGGUUAUGCUAAAGCAGAAGGCAUUGUGCUGACAUUUUUUAAGCCUUACUUGAUUUUGAUAUGUGGUUAGCCGUUUGCCCUUGCACCAAAAACAAACACUAUUCCUAUGUCUUACUUAGAAGCAAAGGUGCAUUAAUUAUUAACUGGUUUGAUAUAUGUUCCAUGGUGGGUGGCAUAGAAAACAAAGCUUCUUUCUAAGACAUGAUGUUCUGUUACUAGCAAAAAAGUGUUAGAAUUUAUAAGUACUUAUUCAAAGAAAAUAAAAACUGACUGGAGAACUGUUUGCUUCUACCAUUCCUUUCAAGUUAAGGCAAAAAUCAUAUUGGCAUGUAGCUUGUGCUCCUGCAGAGUUCUUUUUGUUUUGAUUUUUUGUAAUGUUAAAGGCAUAUCGAAUAAUGAAAUUGCAAUAGUUAUGAUCCCUAGGCCCGACAAAAAACUGACGAGAGUAUUAGGUGGUGGCAGGUAUCAGGCUACAACAGCUGAAUUGCAAGUCUUCUGAUGAGCUUUUGCGGCAAGGAGGAGCAAUCUUACAGUGCAAAGAUGAAGAAGGGGCAAUUCCUCUUCAUGGUGCUUGUGCUUGGGGGUAUGCAUUUUUUAUUUGCAUUGAACUUAUACUUCUUUGCCCCAAGGAGAAGGUUUCAUGCCCCAAGAAGUAGAAUACAUACAGAUAGGCACCCAUCGGGAUCAAGAAACCAAAGUCUGGGCCCUGUUAACUACUCCCUCCGUUCCAAAAUAGAUGACCCAACUUUGUACUAAAGUUAAUACAAAGUUGAGUCGUCUAUUUUGGAAUGGAGGGAGUACAAAGCAAGUCAAUGCCAGCAUACAUAUGAGAAACUGAUGGGCCUGUCAGAGCGAACCCCUGGUUGAAAUUUGUCAAAAGACUGGGCGGUAAACUGAGUGGUAGUCUUAGUAUCUUAAUACACAACUUGCGUACUAUGGGAAUUGUGUUUAUGUUGUUAUGGGAUUAUGGAGUUAUGAUCUAAAAAAAUUAUGGAGUUAUGAUCUAAAAAAGAA